rnacentral:rRNA from 1 species
CGACGUGAGGAACCUGCCUCAAAGAGGGGGACAACAGUUGGAAACGACUGCUAAUACCGCAUAAGCCCACGGCUCGGCAUCGAGCAGAGGGAAAAGGAGCAAUCCGCUUUGAGAUGGCCUCGCGUCCGAUUAGCUAGUUGGUGAGGUAACGGCCCACCAAGGCGAUGAUCAGUAGCCGGUCUGAGAGGAUGAACGGCCACAUUGGGACUGAGACACGGCCCAG